UAUUUGUAAACUAAACAACUUCAGAAUUCAGAAUCCUGUCCGCCUUCCACUCUCCCAAGAACCCUAAGCUUUGAAUCAUGUCUGCCUCCUCCCACUAAACUGAAUCCCGUCCGCCUCCACCCUCUCCGACGUCCGACGCCAUCCACCGCCCUCCGUCCGCCGCCCUACGUUAGCGCGACCAGGCCGAAGCGCGACUGGCCUAAGCGCAAUUGCCCUCAGCGUGACCAGGCCGCUCUGGCCUCCAGUCGAGGCGGCUCCACCAGUCCGCCGAGCUCCAGCAACCGGCAGUCCAGGUAUGGUUUGAGCUCUAUUGAUUAACCUCUUGCUUUAUCUUGCAAAUUAGAAAUUGCUUAUGAGUUAUGAGUUAUGAGAAAUUGCUUAUGAGUUAUGAUUGAUGAUUUAGAGAAAUAAUUUAUUAACCCCUCAUUGCUGAUAACUGCUGUGAAAUAAUUGUUGUGACGUAGGCAUUAAUUUGAUUCGAUAACUAAGUAUGACUUUUUAAUUUGUUUUGAUUCAAAUUUGAUUCGUGGAGUGUGACGUAGACAUUAAUUUGAUUCCAUAAGUGACAUUUGAAUUAGUUCUUCUGUUCUUGAAUAAUUGAUUAACCUCUCAUUUAUUUCAAUGAAAUACUAUAUCUGCUGCCUGCUUGGAAUUAGUUCUGAUUCUUCAGAAAUAAUUGUGGUAUCAUAUAUUGGAUUUGUUCUUAAUUUAUUGAAAUACUUGCUAAUUGCUAGAUCUGCUGGAAUUGUACUUAUCUGUUGGACUUGUAUCUUAAUUUUUGUAGAUUAAAUGGAAGCUUCACAUGAUCAUACUCAACAAGCUUCAAAUGCACCCGUGGAAAGUUGUACCGGCCCCUCUAGCUUGAGAGCUUGAUUUAUAUUGUUCAUGUUUUUUAACUUAUGAAUUACUAGAUAUUUGCUCGUGUUGAACUUAUAUUUUUAUUCAUAUUAUUGAACUUGUGUUUUUAUUCAUGUUGGUGAACUUGGUAUGUUGACAGGUUGAAUUUAGUUGGCUAGUUAAUUUGAGUUAUUAUGCAUCGUUGUUGUGUC
rnacentral:lncRNA from 1 species